CCAGUACGGUUAAUCGUGGCACUUCGAACUCUCCUUCUCGAUAGAGGUUGUUGCCAUCAAGGCCGUACGAGAUGC
rnacentral:snoRNA from 1 species